GACGAACGCUGGCGGCAUGCCUAAUACAUGCAAGUCGAGCGAACAGAUGAAGUGCUUGCGCUCCUGACGUUAGCGGCGAACGGGUGAGUAACACGUAAGGAAUCUACCUAUAAGCGGGGGAUAACAUUCGGAAACGGGUGCUAAUACCGCAUAAUAUCUUCUUCCGCAUGGAAGAAGAUUGAAAGACGGCUCUGCUGUCACUUAUAGAUGACCUUGCGGUGCAUUAGUUAGUUGGUGGGGUAAUGGCCUACCAAGACGAUGAUGCAUAGCCGACCUGAGAGGGUGAUCGGCCACAUUGGGACUGAGACACGGCCCAAACUCCUACGGGAGGCAGCAGUAGGGAAUCUUCCGCAAUGGGCGAAAGCCUGACGGAGCAAUGCCGCGUGAGUGAAGAAGGCCUUCGGGUCGUAAAACUCUGUUAUAAGAGAAGAACAAAUUGUAGAGUAACUGCUACAGUCUUGACGGUAUCUUAUCAGAAAGCCACGGCUAACUACGUGCCAGCAGCCGCGGUAA
rnacentral:rRNA from 1 species